rnacentral:rRNA from 1 species
UGAGGAAUAUUGGUCAAUGGGCGAGAGCCUGAACCAGCCAAGUAGCGUGAAGGAUGGCUGCCCUAUGGGUUGUAAACUUCUUUUAUAAAGGAAUAAAGUCGGGUAUGGAUACCCGUUUGCAUGUACUUUAUGAAUAAGGAUCGGCUAACUCCGUGCCAGCAGCCGCGGUAAUACGGAGGAUCCGAGCGUUAUCCGGAGUUAUUGGGUUUAAAGGGAGCGUAGAUGGAUGUAUAAGUCAGUUGUGAAAGUAUGCAGCUCAACCGUAAAAUUGCAGAUGAUACUGGAUCUCUUGAGUGCAGGUGGGGCAGGCGGAAUUCGUGGUGUAGCGGUGAAAUGCUAAGAUAUCACGAAGAACACCGAUUGCGAAGGCAGCCUGCUAAGCUGCAACUGACAUUGAGGCUCGAAAGUGUGGGUAUCAAACAGG